AACGAACGCUGGCGGCAUGCCUAACACAUGCAAGUCGAACGAGACCUUCGGGUCUAGUGGCGCACGGGUGCGUAACGCGUGGGAACCUGCCCUUAGGUUCGGAAUAACUCCCCGAAAGGGGUGCUAAUACCGGAUAAUGUCUUCGGACCAAAGAUUUAUCGCCUUUGGAUGGGCCCGCGUUGGAUUAGCUAGUUGGUAGGGUAAAAGCCUACCAAGGCGACGAUCCAUAGCUGGUCUGAGAGGAUGAUCAGCCACACUGGGACUGAGACACGGCCCAGACUCCUACGGGAGGCAGCAGUGGGGAAUAUUGGACAAUGGGCGAAAGCCUGAUCCAGCAACGCCGCGUGAGUGAUGAAGGCCUUAGGGUUGUAAAGCUCUUUUAACCGGGAUGAUAAUGACAGUACCGGGAGAAUAAGCUCCGGCUAACUCCGUG
rnacentral:rRNA from 1 species